rnacentral:rRNA from 1 species
CCUACGGGUGGCAGCAGUGGGGAAUAUUGGGCAAUGGGCGCAAGCCUGACCCAGCAACGCCGCGUGAAGGAAGAAGGCUUUCGGGUUGUAAACUUCUUGUGACAGGGAAGAGCAGAAGAAGGGACCUGUCGAAUAAGCCACGGCUAACGACGGGCCAGCAGCCGCGGUAAUACGGAGGUGGCAAGCGUUGUCCGGAUUUACUGGGUGUAAAGGGCGUGUAGCCGGGCUGACAAGUCAGAUGUGAAAUCCGGGGGCUCAACCCCCGAACUGCUUUUGCAACUGUUGGUCUUGAGUAUCGGAGAGGCAGGCGUAUUUCCUAGUGUAGCGGUGAAAUGCGUAGAUAUUAGGAGGAACACCAGUGGCGAAGGCGGCCUGCUGGACGACACCUGACGGUGAGGCGCGAAAGCGUAGGUAGCAAACCGGAUUAGAUACCCCAGUAGUC